rnacentral:rRNA from 1 species
UCAAGAAACUUCCACAAUGGGCGAAAGCCUGAUGGAGCGACGUCGCGUGAUGGACGAAGUGCUUCGGCACGUAAACAUCUUUUAUGUGGGAUGAAAUUAUUGACAGUACCACAUGAAUAAGGGGCUCCUAACUCUGUGCCAGCAGGAGCGGUAAUACAGAGGCCCCAAGCGUUAUCCGGAAUCACUGGGCGUAAAGGGUGUCGAGGCGGUUGUAUUAGUCGUUCGUAAAAUCUACGAGCUUAACUUGUAGGCGGCGAACGAAACGGUACGACUUGAGGUUUGGAGAGGUGCGUGGAACUCACGGUGUAGGGGUGAAAUCCGUUGAUAUCGUGGGGAACACCAAAGGCGAAGGCAGCGCACUGGCCAAAAUCUGACGCUCACACACGAAAGCUAGGGUAGCGAAGAGGAUUAGAUACCCGUUGUAGUCCCUGAGCGGGCUGGCAAGGCGCAU